CCUACGGGUGGCAGCAGUGGGGAAUAUUGGGCAAUGGGCGCAAGCCUGACCCAGCAACGCCGCGUGAAGGACGAAGGCUUUCGGGUUGUAAACUUCUUUUAAGCGGGAAGAGCAGAAGACGGUACCUCUUGAAUAAGCCACGGCUAACUAAGUGCCAGCAGCCGCGGAAAUACGUAGGUGGCAAGCGUUGUCCGGAUUUACUGGGUGUAAAGGGCGUGUAGCCGGGCGGAAAAGUCAGAUGUGAAAUUCCGGGGCUCAACCCCGGACCUGCAUUUGAAACUGUUGGUCUUGAGUAUCGGAGAGGCAGGCGGAAUUCCUAGUGUAGCGGUGAAAUGCGUAGAUAUUAGGAGGAACACCAGUUGCAAAGGCGGCCUGCUGGACGACAACUGACGGUGAGGCGCGAAAGCGUGGGGAGCAAACAGGAUUAGAUACCCCGGUAGUC
rnacentral:rRNA from 1 species